ACUGUGGUGAACUAGAUAAACAGGGCUAGACUCACUGGGGUCCCCUUCAGGUAGGAGGCAGCCUGUGUACUAGCUGAGCCUGGCUCUGAUGGCAUGGAAUCAGGGUCUGCUCUGAGUGCUCUCAGGUGGGGAUCACUGUGGCUGUACUGGGUUAGAGCUGCAUGGCUCUAAGGGCUGGGGACCAUGAAGCCCGUAAGGCUUUCUUAACCCGUAUGAUCCUUUUGGGGGCAUGGCAGUGACCUUUUCACAGGGGUCACCUAUCAGAAAACAGCUGACUGUCUUCCUUUCCUGGGCCCGAUGCACUUGAGAGAGUCCUGCUUGCUGGUUUCAGUUGGCUCAAACUCUUAUCAGGGAGAGCUGGUUCCUUCCCUGACCCCGCCCCUGCAGAGCCUGACUCCACCCACGGGUGGGUACUACCCAACUCUGAGCCUGCCCUUUGUACUGCACAUGGUCUUCAGAGCCAUCUGGCAUCUGUGGUUCCAUGAGUAGAACCUGGGGGGUUGACGUCUCCAGAGCCAUUCAGGAAGGCAGCCUCUCAUGGCCCUGCUGGGUGGUGGGGAGUUUGCCAGGUCUUUGGUUCAGGUGUUCAAAUGGAAGUCCCAUUUUUAGGAUGUGUCUGUCUCUCUGAGUUUAGAUACUGACCCUGCCAUAGCUACCCACUACUACCCAGCAAGCCUUGCUCUUUAGCGAUACCAGUGCUGAGCCCAGCAGGACGUUAGGGUUCCAAUGUACUUAGGGCUUAGAAGAGGGAGGUCAGAGACCUUUUGCCCUAAACAGAGCUCUACCCUUUCCUUCACAAGAUGGCAACUGACUGGUGAUGGGGCUCACUUGCCACCCUGGGCCAUGAGCCCACUUUUCUAGCCUCCAAAGACUGGAAGCCAUGAAGCCAGUGAGGCAGUGUUUCUUAAGCUGUGAGUCUCAACCCCUUUAGUGAGCUCAAAGGACUCUAUCACAGGGGUUGCCUAUCAGAAAACACAGAUACUUACAUUACGAUUCAUAAUUAGCAAAAUUACAGUUCAGUAGGUACGAAAAUAAUUUUGUGGUUGGGGGUUACCACACCAUGAGGGCUGUAUUUAUGUGGCGGCAUUAGGACAGUUGAGGACUGCCAGAAGGGCCUAACCUGGAGUGGAACAGAACUCAGUGGGCUCUGCUUGGCCAGGUAGCUUCUUCACUGGUGGCCCCGUGGCUCACCCAGCAACCAGGAAGAUUAUUUCUUUCUUCAUUCACAGGACGAUAACCUCACUUCCCUUUCACAAUCCCUGGGUGCCGGGUGCGGAUGAGGUCCUGCCCUGUGCCCUUAUGUAGGAGCGGUCCUGCCCUAAGAGUUUAGCACAAACACCAGUCUCCUUGACCCCUGCACUCCCCCAGCCCUGCCCUGUAACCACCCUACUGUCUCACUUUCCAGGUUCCAGUUUCACUGCCAGGUGCAGGUCUGGAAGGCCAGGCCCAGGGCCCUCAGCCAGUGGGGAUAAUCAUGGUCUCCACAGCCUGCCUAUCUCUCUGCUCGCUGUUAUGUCUGGGGCCAACGUGACCCCCUCUCCCAGGUCUCUCAGCCAACCUGCCUUCUUACAGCACGGACUCCCACAAGUGACCCAAAGCACACAUCUUUGAGGGGCGAUGGGCCCUCCCCAGCCACAGGCCCUAUCCCCAGCAUCCUAGCAAGGAUGAAUUCUUCCCUUGACCCCAAUUCUGUGGCCUGAGAGGGCCCUGAGUCCUGGACUGAAGCUGGCUUCUAUGGAGAAGCUGCAUCCGUCCCUUCUAACAGUAGUGCCAAGGCUCAGGCCCUCUGCUGAGGCCCCUGCCCCACCAAAGUGCUCAGAGCGACCUUUGGGCCUUUGUCGGAAGGUGCCCAGGGCUUGAGGACCAGAACAUAAGCAAUGCCCGUUUAGAAACAAACCAGCUGCUUCCCUUCCCCUGGGCAGGCUUGGCUGCCUGCCAACAGCUGCCCAGGGCCUCUGGGGCAAUAGAAGUUUAAUCUCUUCCCUUGUUUGAAGAGUUACUGAACAGCAGGAACAGGUGGAGGCUGUUGCUGUUGGGGAGGAAGUACCCACAGAAGGGCUGGUAGGGCCAGGGUGGUAGCAGCAGGAGAGAGGUCCUGUCCACUAAAGGUACUAGAGAAGGGACCUCAUGUCUCUUUGGGUGGAAGUCUGUCCCCAAGGACACAGGCCCCAACUGGAGGGGAUCUACCCGAAACCCCUGGUUCACACUGAACAGGUUGCCCUGUCCCAGGAUACUGCCAGCAGUGGGCCUCUAGCCAAACUCCCCCCUGCAGGGCUUGGGCAGGGGCAGACUUGCCAGCCCAAGGGUGCCAGGCACAUUGGGGAGAUUUUCACAUUACCUAUUUAUGAAGAUGUAAGUCUUUCUAUCAAAUCUAUUUUUGAAACAUGAAAAGUUGCCUUCCUGGAUAUGUCAGAGACAGUGUACAAUUCAACCAUUAAACAUUUCUGUAUUG
rnacentral:lncRNA from 1 species